AUUUUGAACCGCAUGGUUCAAAAGUGAAAGACGGUCUUGCUGUCACUUAUAGAUGGAUCCGCGCUGCAUUAGCUAGUUGGUAAGGUAACGGCUUACCAAGGCAACGAUGCAUAGCCGACCUGAGAGGGUGAUCGGCCACACUGGAACUGAGACACGGUCCAGACUCCUACGGGAGGCAGCAGUAGGGAAUCUUCCGCAAUGGGCGAAAGCCUGACGGAGCAACGCCGCGUGAGUGAUGAAGGUCUUCGGAUCGUAAAACUCUGUUAUUAGGGAAGAACAUAUGUGUAAGUAACUGUGCACAUCUUGACGGUACCUAAUCAGAAAGCCACGGCUAACUACGUGCCAGCAGCCGCGGUAAUACGUAGGUGGCAAGCGUUAUCCGGAAUUAUUGGGCGUAAAGCGCGCGUAGGCGGUUUCUUAAGUCUGAUGUGAAAGCCCACGGCUCAACCGUGGAGGGUCAUUGGAAACUGGGAAACUUGAGUGCAGAAGAGGAGAGUGGAAUUCCAUGUGUAGCGGUGAAAUGCGCAGAGAUAUGGAGGAACACC
rnacentral:rRNA from 1 species